rnacentral:rRNA from 1 species
GACCCGUCUUGAAACACGGACCAAGAAGUCUAUCUUGCGCGCAAGUCAAUGGGAGUAGCAAACCCAAAGGCGAAGAUAACACAACUGCAAAGUCGUUGCGGGAUUACGGGUGCACCACAGUCCGCAAGGACUGGCUAGCUGUGCCGCCCCUCCAUCCCCGGGUGUUUAGCAACGGAUCUGUAGUGCCGCGGACCCCCCGACAGGGGUGGGCAUUUGCAGAGCCAACGCGACAUACCGCGAGCGCGCAGGAUGUGACCCGAAAGAUGGUGAACUAUGCCUGAUCAGGUUGAAGUCAGGGGAAACCCUGAUGGAGGACCGAAGCAAUUCUGACGUGCAAAUCGAUUGUCAGAGUUGGGCAUAGGGGCGAAAGACCAAUCGAACCAUCUAGUAGCUGGUUCCUUCCGA